UCAGACCACAAAGCCAGACGAAAUAUCGCUAAGCAUUUCGCCCGGCGUGCUAAUGUUUCUGCCAACCCACCGCCUUAUAUACCUUUAUAACAUUGCAAACUAUCUCGACUUUCAGGGUGUCCUGCUUUUUGUUUCAGAGGCCCUGUAAAAAUUAAGGGUAGUGCCCAUAACUCUUAAUUUUUACAGAGGUUUGGAAAAUGAUAAACGAGUGACAAUUAUUUGGACACCUAAACACACAAAUAUAAUUGGAAACACAAAAGCAGAUGAAUUAACGAAAGAAGGAACACUGAAAUGCAUUGAGUUACUUCCCUUCAGUUCUAAGCUUGCUUGUUACUUAUUGUUUUGUUUAACUUGUCAUAUUUUAAUAAAAUAUUCAGAGUGAAUCAAUAUUUCAACUAUGGCUGCCUGAUUAAUAAGCCACACGUAAAGCCUCCUCUUAUUUUAUCUAGUUAUCUAUAUCAUUAUAGCAUGACAUAACAUGGUGUCAGAGUAAGGUUAACCUCCUGCCACAAAAAAAAGGUAUAGACAGAGUUCGAGUAUUUAUUCUCCCCCUUUAACUUUGUUUAUAUGCGCAUCAAAUGCACAUGCAAGCUGUUUGAAACUGAAGUACUCUAGACACAUUUUAAGCGACUACAAUUAGUCUGAACAGGAUAAGUUUGAAUCCACCAGAACAACAGAGCUUCGAAGGAAAUUUAGCUGAAAGCUACAAGGUCUAGGAACAACAGCAUGACUUUUAUCGACUUGCUGCAGUAGAUAUGGUAAAAGAUGGAAAAGUGCUGGCUGCAACUUGUCUCCACAUUACUGGAUCCAAAAUGCAACAGCCAACUUUGAGGUCAAUAAGGCCGUUGUACAACCCAUGUCAAUGAGGGUUUUUAGCACUUUCUGUCCGAGAGCCUCUACUUGCUUGCAGGAAGAAACUACCGAGGAAAUUUUUGCGAAUUUGUGUUCUGCACACGAGAAUUCAGA
rnacentral:lncRNA from 1 species